UACAGAGGUCUCAAGCGUUGUUCGGAUUCAUUGGGCGUAAAGGGUGCGUAGGUGGCGGGGCAAGUCAGGUGUGAAAUCUCGGGGCUCAACCCCGAAACUGCACUUGAUACUGCCUUGCUCGAGUACUGGAGAGGAGAUUGGAAUUUACGGUGUAGCAGUGAAAUGCGUAGAUAUCGUAAGGAAGACCAGUGGCGAAGGCGAAUCUCUGGACAGUUACUGACACUGAGGCACGAAGGCCAGGGGAGCAAACGGG
rnacentral:rRNA from 1 species